rnacentral:rRNA from 1 species
AUUGAACGCUGGCGGCAUGCCUUACACAUGCAAGUCGAACGGUAACAGGUCUUCGGAUGCUGACGAGUGGCGAACGGGUGAGUAAUACAUCGGAACGUGCCCGAUCGUGGGGGAUAACGAAGCGAAAGCUUUGCUAAUACCGCAUAAGAUCUAAGGAUGAAAACAGGGGACCGCAAGGCCUUGCGCGAACGGAGCGGCCGAUGGCAGAUUAGGUAGUUGGUGGGAUAAAAGCUUACCAAGCCGACGAUCUGUAGCUGGUCUGAGAGGACGACCAGCCACACUGGGACUGAGACACGGCCCAGACUCCUACGGGAGGCAGCAGUGGGGAAUUUUGGACAAUGGGCGAAAGCCUGAUCCAGCCAUGCCGCGUGCAGGAUGAAGGCCUUCGGGUUGUAAACUGCUUUUGUACGGAACGAAAAGACUCUGGUUAAUACCUGGGGUCCAUGACGGUACCGUAAGAAUAAGCACCGGCUAACUACGUGCCAGCAGCCGCCGUAAGAC